CAAUAGCGUAUAUUAAAGUUGUUGCGGGUAAAAAGCUCGUAGUUGGAUUUCUGCCGAGGACGACCGGUCCGCCCUCCGGGUGAGUAUCUGGCUCGGCCUGGGCAUCUUCUUGGAGAACGUAACUGCACUUGGCUGUGUGGUGCGGUAUUCAGGACUUUUACUUUGAGGAAAUUAGAGUGUUUCAAGCAGGCACACGCCUUGAAUACAUUAGCAUGGAAUAAUAAGAUAGGACCUCGGUUCUAUUUUGUUGGUUUCUAGAUCUGAGGUAAUGAUUAAUAGGGAUAGUUGGGGGCAUUCGUAUUUAACUGUCAGAGGUGAAAUUCUUGGAUUUGCUAAAGACGGACUACUGCGAAAGCAUUUGCCAAGGAUGUUUUCAUUGA
rnacentral:rRNA from 1 species